rnacentral:lncRNA from 1 species
UUUUUUUUUUUUUUUUGCAAUUCCUGUAUGUAUACAAUGUAUUUAAAUCAUAUCUACCCUUCUCCUCCCCUUGGCUCACCUUUUAGAAUAUGAUUCCAAAUCUGAUGCUCUUCAUUCAAGGCAUCUCCCAUCUGACAUCAACUGCUCUAGAGUUUACCAGCAAAGAUGGCAUUCAUAUUCACCCUUAAACAUUUUUCAAGCUAACACAAUUUUUACAUUGCUUCAAAUCACUACUAAGAAUGUGAAAGAGAUAGUGAAUGAUAAUGUCAGGACAUCCUGACUUGACACUGCUGCUGAGACCCGCCUUGUCAUAGUUUAAGAAGGAAGAGAGAGACAGUUAGCAGUCCAUGGGAUGGUAAGGUACACUAACCCCCAGGGCUUUCUCUUUCCUCUGACCCAAAGACUGGAAAGGUAAUUUAACAGAAGAGUUUCUCACUUUCUGUCUGAUUUCAUACAAAAGAGGAAAGUGUUUCUCUUCCUCCAGAGCCCUGUAUUUACCUCUCAUUGGGAAACCCUGAUGUUGUUCACCCUUGCCUACAGUUUCCCUUCCAAAUGGUUGUCCAGUUUCUGCCCAGACAUUUCCAGGAACAGGAGAGCCUUGGAACUCACUUUUCCUUGUAAAACUAAUGGUUCUCAUUGUACCCAAAAUAAAACAAGCAAAAAUUUAAAAGAACCAGAAAAACAAAAUACCGCUUGCCCGUAAUCCCCUUCCCUGUGUGACAAGCUCUCUUGUGGUUAAAUAUUACUUAAUUUUCCGUGCAAAUACAUAGAUCAGUGAAUCCUGUUGGAAGUAAGAAUUGACUAUGUACAAAGCCGAUAAGCCGGGACUGCCAGCAAAGGGUUCUUCUAACUGAGAAAAUAAGGGAAAUGAAAGCAGUAAACGUUUUGCCUCAAACUAUGGCACUCUGGAUUCAGAAUAGCGACACAUCACAACCAACUAAAAUCUUGUCAUGUAACAGAAGGAGUCAAAAACAAAAACCGGAGCUAGACAAUUCUUCAUUCUUGGCCUUUUGAAACGCAUGUUGAGUGCCUGCAAAAAUGAGAGCCAGGGUCAGUUAAGGGAAAUUUAAUAUUUUGAACUAUUGGUUUGCCAAGUAUCUGGCGUGUAUCUAAAGCCAAUUUGAAUACUCUGGGCAUUUAUGGACAAGAACUCAAGGCAGGCUUCUCAUUUCCGUUAGCUGGAAUAAAAGGCACCACUCUAAAGUGCGGGGCGUGUUUAGGCUUCUCUUUCUUUUUUUUUGUAACAUAGAUAGUGGGGUGCAUGUUGUGGGCUCAGUGUGAGGCUUCAGCCUGGCCCCUGGAAUGUGCUCAGUUAGUGGCAGCUGUUGACAGCAAGAGCAGCAGCAGCAAGGGCUGUCCACUCAUUGCACACACAGAAACACAACAGCGAGAACAGAGGACUCAAGCUCGUGGGCUUGUAAUAACCACUGUGGCUGCCACAAGCCUCCUUUGUCUAUGCUUCUUGCAGCGACCGCUCUCCCAUCAAAAUAAAUUAAAUAACCCAGAAAGUUAAUCCAGAAACAGCAUGGAGCCAGAGAGAAUUCCUCCCUCACCACUGGAGGCGAUUGGUUUCUGCCCUGCAGCAUGACAUUCGAUUUCCUUGAUCACAGCUGCAUAAUUCUAAAUAUUAUCAUUGGUUAUACAACUUCCCGGUCUCCCCUGAGAAAAAUCAGCCCAUGUAGAGCGCCUUGGAUUCCACUGGGAGUAAGCACAGCUACUACAGCGGAGUCUUCCUGGCUCACUUCUUGGGGCAAACUCAACCUCUACCUUAACAUCCAAAUCCAACUCAUGGUCCCUCACCGAGGCUGUCUUACCGGCUGAUUCUUGGUUGUGUUAAGUUGCCGGUGACAACUAACCGUCAUACCUGUCUUAGGUCUUCUGACAUCCAGAGCUCAGGAUUUGAGAAGACUUACUGCCCCAUUCAGAUUCAUCACACCCUCUGGAGACUGCACACAGCCCCAAAUCACUCUUCCCACAAGAGUUCUUCAAUGACCUGGUCAAAAAAUGGGACCCCCAAAAUUGACAUUUGCUUAAUAGUUCUCAAGGUGGUUCUACUGUGGACCUAGGGUUGAGACUCACCAUGCUAUUGUUUCUAUAGAAUUGUUCUCUGGUUUCCAGGCCUACGGUCACCAGUGUUUCUGUUUAGGUUCAUCCCUAAUUAGUUCAGUUGCUCCCUGUCCCAGGAAGCCAUCCCUGGCUUUCCCCUACCUUUGCUCUAGCAGGUUCUAUUUCAUAGAUACUGCAACACCAUCUGCCUCCUGUUCUCACAAAGGCUUUGAGAGAAUACUGUAUUUGCCUUGUUUGUUCUUUGCAUUGCCUAGCAAUUUCUUGGCAAGGCAAACAGGACCCUUGACGGACUUCCCAGACCUCUGUGCUAGCUUUGCGGUCCACUGCCCCCUGACAGUUUCCUCUUUCGAUAUUUCAGUACCCUCAGUACUUCACUCUUCCUCCUCAGGUACUUCACCCUUUGACACGACUUCUUCCCCAGCCCCACUGAAGACCCUGACUCCUCCAAGAUCCAGCUUAGCCUUCAGACCUGGUAUAAAGUUGUCCUGGCUGGCGCCACCUGAAAGCAAGGAUCUUCUCCCUGGAGUAGCUAUGGUAGUUAAGGAAAUGAGUUAAGGCCAUCAAAGCAAAUACACUAGGCUUAGUUUUGGAAAGUACAAGUGAAGGUACUUCGUUUAAUUGUUCUAAUACCUUGUAAGUUUGAAAUGAUUGAUUAAAAACCAGAUGACCUGAAUUUGCCAACACUGGAUAGUUUCUAGCUGAACUGAAUUGCAAUAUGUGCAAUUUGAACACAUUGUUUUAAGGGCGUGCUACAAGCUGGUCUGUCAUUAUCUUAGGGCUGAGUGCCUCAGAAUGUAUUGCAAAAUUUCCAAAAUUGAAAUAUAGAAAACAAACCCCUGGUGUCAGCAUCUUUAUACCCCACACUGAGUAUUUAUGAAAAAAAUGGGAGGCAGUAGUAGCUCCUCUGUGAUAUUUCUCUCUCCGCUCCUUUUCACUUGAGGCUAGAAUUUUAGUCUUGUCUUGACCUAAUGAUUAAUUAUCCUACUCAUUCCUUUGAUUGAACCCCACCAAACAAGCCAGACUUUACUGUCGAAAUACCUAAGCAAAAUAAAAAUGCAUAACAUUGUUGUGAAAACAAUUAAAAUGUUUAUAUCAUCUUGUCAUCGCCAGGAGGCGAUGGCACAUACCUUGAACACUUAAGACGCAGAGGUAGGUGGAUUUCUAUGAGUUUGAAGCCAGCCUGGUCUACAGAGCAGGUUCUAGGACUUCCAGGAUAUCGAAGGCUAUACAGAGAAACCCUGUU